UGGGGAAUAUUGCACAAUGGGCGCAAGCCUGAUGCAGCCAUGCCGCGUGUGUGAAGAAGGCCUUCGGGUUGUAAAGCACUUUCAGCGAGGAGGAAGGUGGUGAACUUAAUACGUUCAUCAAUUGACGUUACUCGCAGAAGAAGCACCGGCUAACUCCGUGCCAGCAGCCGCGGUAAUACGGAGGGUGCAAGCGUUAAUCGGAAUUACUGGGCGUAAAGCGCACGCAGGCGGUUUGUUAAGUCAGAUGUGAAAUCCCCGGGCUCAACCUGGGAACUGCAUUUGAAACUGGCAAGCUAGAGUCUCGUAGAGGGGGGUAGAAUUCCAGGUGUAGCGGUGAAAUGCGUAGAGAUCUGGAGGAAUACCGGUGGCGAAGGCGGCCCCCUGGACGAAGACUGACGCUCAGGUGCGAAAGCGUGGGGCAGCAAACAGGAUUAGAUACCCUGGUAGUCCACGCUGUAAACGAUGUCGAUUUUGGAGGUUGUGCCCUUGAGGCGUGGCUUCCGGAGCUAACGCGUUAAAUCGACCGCCUGGGGAGUACGGCCGCAAGGUUAAAACUCAAAGG
rnacentral:rRNA from 1 species